GGGAUGACGGUACCGGAAGAAUAAGCACCGGCUAACUACGUGCCAGCAGCCGCGGUAAUACGUAGGGUGCGAGCGUUAAUCGGAAUUACUGGGCGUAAAGCGUGCGCAGGCGGUUCGCUAAGACCGAUGUGAAAUCCCCGGGCUCAACCUGGGAACUGCAUUGGUGACUGGCGGGCUAGAGUAUGGCAGAGGGGGGUAGAAUUCCACGUGUAGCAGUGAAAUGCGUAGAGAUGUGGAGGAAUACCGAUGGCGAAGGCAGCCCCCUGGGCCAAUACUGACGCUCAUGCACGAAAGCGUGGGGAGCAAACAGGAUUAGAUACCCUGGUAGUCCACGCCCUAAACGAUGUCAACUAGUUGUUGGGGAUUCAUUUCCUUAGUAACGUAGCUAACGCGUGAAGUUGACCGCCUGGGGAGUACGGUCGCAAGAUUAAAACUCAAAGGAAUUGACGGGGACCCGCACAAGCGGUGGAUGAUGUGGAUUAAUUCGAUGCAACGCGAAAAACCUUACCUACCCUUGACAUGGUCGGAAUCCUGAAGAGAUUCGGGAGUGCUC
rnacentral:rRNA from 1 species